UGCAGGAGGGGAAACACUACCUCAUAUGGGGCCUCUCCUCAGACCUGUGGGGAGAGAAAUCCAACAUCAAGUACAUCAUCGGGAAGGAAACCUGGGUAGAGCUGUGGCCUGAAGCGGACGAAUGCCAAGACGAUGAGAA